rnacentral:rRNA from 1 species
UACGGGGGGGGGCAAGCGUUGUUCGGAAUUACUGGGCGUAAAGGGCUCGUAGGCGGCCAACUAAGUCAGACGUGAAAUCCCUCGGCUUAACCGGGGAACUGCGUCUGAUACUGGAUGGCUUGAGGUUGGGAGAGGGAUGCGGAAUUCCAGGUGUAGCGGUGAAAUGCGUAGAUAUCUGGAGGAACACCCAUGGCGAAGGCAGCAAACUGGUCCGUAUCUGACGCUGAGGCGCGAAAGCGUGGGGAGCAAACAGG